AGGGUGCGAGCGUUAAUCGGAAUUACUGGGCGUAAAGCGCACGUAGGCGGCUUGGUAUGUCGGGUGUGAAAUCCCCGGGCUCAACCUGGGAACUGCAUCCGAAACUGCCUUGCUAGAGUAUGGGAGAGGGAAGUGGAAUUUCCGGUGUAGCGGUGAAAUGCGUAGAUAUCGGAAGGAACAUCAGUGGCGAAGGCGACUUCCUGGACCAAUACUGACGCUCAGGUGCGAAAGCGUAGGGAGCAAACAGG
rnacentral:rRNA from 1 species